AUCAUUACCGAGUGCGGGUCCUUUGGGCCCAACCUCCCAUCCGUGUCUAUUGUACCCUGUUGCUUCGGCGGGCCCGCCGCUUGUCGGCCGCCGGGGGGGCGCCUCUGCCCCCCGGGCCCGUGCCCGCCGGAGACCCCAACACGAACACUGUCUGAAAGCGUGCAGUCUGAGUUGAUUGAAUGCAAUCAGUUAAAACUUUCAACAAUGGAUCUCUUGGUUCCGGCAUCGAUGAAGAACGCAGCGAAAUGCGAUAACUAAUGUGAAUUGCAGAAUUCAGUGAAUCAUCGAGUCUUUGAACGCACAUUGCGCCCCCUGGUAUUCCGGGGGGCAUGCCUGUCCGAGCGUCAUUGCUGCCCUCAAGCCCGGCUUGUGUGUUGGGUCGCCGUCCCCCUCUCCGGGGGGACGGGCCCGAAAGGCAGCGGCGGCACCGCGUCCGAUCCUCGAGCGUAUGGGGCUUUGUCACAUGCUCUGUAGGAUUGGCCGGCGCCUGCCGACGUUUUCCAACCAUUCUUUCCAGGUUGACCUCGGAUCAGGUAGGGAUACCCGCUGAACUUAAGC
rnacentral:rRNA from 1 species